rnacentral:lncRNA from 1 species
CAAACCAGCUACAGCGGCCCCUCCGCUGCCCGCCCCGAGUGUAGGCGAGCGUGCGGGAGGGGCGGCCCUAACGUGUGGAUCUGAGCCCCCCCCCAGCCUGCCUUGCGCACCCACAGGUCGGGCGGGCAUCAGCACCCUGCCUAGCUCUCUUUGAUGGCCGGAAUCCCCAGAAGUCGCCUGCGACCUCCUCCCCCUCUGCAGCCCUAAAAAGGACGCGGGGUCCCGGCCCGACGCAGGCGGAACCUUCUGCCCGCCUCUUACUGACCGAGGAAAAUGGCCUUGCGCGUUUGGAUAACUAGGGAGAGAUAGGUCGUUUCCCCUACCCAACCGCUCCUUGGGCUUUGUGCCCCAGCGAGCGUGAAUUCGCCUGCUGAGGGAAGAGAGCAAAUGAUGGCGAUGGACAAGAUGGACAAAACCAGCGGCCCCUGCACAUCCCAGCAGUUGUGAGGGAAAGUAGGGAACCCAGGGAUCGAGAAGUGCCCACGAUCUUCCCCAAAGCCAGAAGCAUGCCUAACGCCUGCUGCCCUACAAAAUGCCGGGCACUCUGACCAGGGACCCUGCGGCCAGGCCUGAGCGCUUUGUCCCUAGCCCGCCUGAGGAUGCUACCAGAUGAGGGUUGGACACAGAGGUUCGUUCGUCUGCUGGGGCCGCCGCUGAGCUUUUGGGCUCUUGGGCUCAGAGCCUGAGACUGUAGGCAAGGCACGUGUACUGGCGCGAAGUUCCCACAGUUAGCUGCAAGAGGAGCGAACAAUCCCAGAGGUACCUAUUCUGAUGAUUCCCGUUGUACAGACUGAUGAAUGGGCAGAUGAGAAAGGCAAACUCGAAUCACACACGGGGAGCGCCUGAGGCUUUACCUCCAACGCCCAACCUUCACUAAGCGGUCACUCUGGGAUCUGAAAAGAAGCACAGGCAUGAGGCAGCCAGAAACCAUCCUGCUCACAGUUGUCAGACUGGCUUGACAGACAGGGGCCAGCCCACUUCCUUCACCCUCAGAAAAAGCUGGUUCUCUGGCCACAGAAGCAAGAGGAGGGCUGUUCAAGUGGGAAUAGAACGCAGAGUUUGGAGACAAGCAGACCCAAGUUCAAAGUUCAAGUCACAGCUUUCCUCCUGCCAAAUGUAUAGCUUUGGACAGGGUCUUUCCAGGUAGCCCAGAAUGGUCUCAAAAACCCUGGGGGGAAUUUUGUGGUCGAGGAAUCAAACCCAGGACCUUUUUUGCUCACUCGCUGAAGAUCCGGCUCUCAACAACCUAGGAAGCCGAGGUCACCGGGGCGUCUCCCCAGAUGAGAAAAGGGGUCCCUAAGCAUCUGCACGCACUUUGCU